rnacentral:rRNA from 1 species
AGAGUUUGAUCAUGGCUCAGGACGAACGCUGGCGGCGUGCCUAAAACAUGCAAGUCGAACGAUCCGGGCAACCGGAUAGUGGCGAACGGCGGAGUAAUACAUAAGCAACGUGCCCCGAAGACUGGGAUAGUCAGUGGAAACGCUGGGUAAUACCGGAUGUGGCGAGCUCUUGGCAUCUUGAGCUCACUAAAUGGAUUUUCGCUUCGGGAGCGGCUUAUGGCCUAUCAGGUAGUUGGUGAGGUAAUGGCUCACCAAGCCGACGACGGGUAGCGGGUCUGAGAGGAUGAUCCGCUCGAGUGGGACUGAGACACGGCCCACACACCUACGGGUGGCAGCAGUUGGGAAUCUUGCACAAUGGGGGAAACCCUGAUGCAGCGACGCCGCGUGGAGGAUGAAAGGGUCUAGGCCUGUAAACUCCUUUUGACAGGAAAGACUUAGGACGGUACCUGUCGAAUAAGGACCGGCUAACUACGUGCCAGCAGCCGCGGUAAGACGUAGGGUCCAAGCGUUGUCCGGAUUUACUGGGCGUAAAGAGCGCGUAGGCGGUCUGUUAAGUGAGAAGUGAAAUCUCCAGGGCUCAACCCGGAAACUGCUUUUCAUACUGGCAGACUUGAGGGAUGCAGAGGUGAAUGGAAUUCCUGGUGUAGCGGUGAAAUGCGUUGAUAUCAGGAGGAACACCUGUGGUGUAGACAGCUUACUGGACCAUUUCUGACGCUGAGACACGAAAGCGUGGGUAGCAAACAGGAUUAGAUACCCUAGUAGUCC